AGAAUCAACGCUGGCGGCGUGCCUAACACAUGCAAGUCGAACGAGAAAGUGGAGCAAUCCAUGAGUAAAGUGGCGCACGGGUGAGUAACACGUGACUAACCUACCCUUGAGUGGGGAAUAACUUCGGGAAACCGAGGCUAAUACCGCAUAACACCUACGGGUCAAAGGAGCAAUUCGCUUAAGGAGGGGUUGCGGCAGAUUAGUUAGUUGGCGGGUAAUGGCCCACCAAGACAGUGAUCUGUAUCCGGCCUGAGAGGGCGCACGGACACACUGGAACUGAAACACGGUCCAGACUCCUACGGGAGGCAGCAGUGGGAAUUUGCGCAAUGGGGGAAACCCUGACGCAGCAACGCCGCGUGGAGGAUGAAGUCUCUUGGGACGUAAACUCCUUUCGAUCGGGACGAUAAUGACGGUACCGAGAGAAGAAGCCCCGGCUAACUUCGCGCCAGCAGCCGC
rnacentral:rRNA from 1 species